AGCCUUCUGUAUCCUUGCUGCGAUUUCGUCACACACUAGACCAUAAGGGUUGAUGAGAUUCUCAAGAUUAGUGAAACA
rnacentral:pre_miRNA from 1 species